rnacentral:tRNA from 1 species
GUCAGGAUGGCCGAGCGGUCUAAGGCGUCAGACUCAAGUUCUGGUCCACAUAUGUGGGCGUGGGUUCGAAUCCCAUUUCUGACA